UACGAAGGGGGCUAGCGUUGCUCGGAAUCACUGGGCGUAAAGGGUGCGUAGGUGGUGGGGUAAGUUUGAUGUGAAAUCUCCGAGCUUAACUCGGAAAUGGCAUUGAAUACUACUCUGCUGGAGGGUCGGAGGGGAGACUGGAAUUUUCGGUGUAGCAGUGAAAUGCGUGGAUAUCGAAAGGAACACCAGUGGCGAAAGCGAGUCUCUGGACGACUCCUGACACUGAGGCACGAAAGCUAGGGGAGCAAACAGG
rnacentral:rRNA from 1 species